rnacentral:rRNA from 2 species
AUGGCGAACUGAGGGAGUAGCACUCGCCGUAAUAUAGCCCCGAAGCGGGGGAUAACAUUUGGAAACAGGUGCUAAUACCGCAUAACUACAAAAACCACAUGGUUUUUGUUUAAAAGAUGGUUUCGGCUAUCACUUUGGGAUGGACCCGCGGCGUAUUAGCUAGUUGGUGAGGUAAUGGCUCACCAAGGCAAUGAUACGUAGCCGACCUGAGAGGGUAAUCGGCCACAUUGGGACUGAGACACGGCCCAAACUCCUACGGGAGGCAGCAGUAGGGAAUCUUCCACAAUGGACGAAAGUCUGAUGGAGCAACGCCGCGUGAGUGAUGAAGGGUUUCGGCUCGUAAAACUCUGUUGUUGGAGAAGAACGGGUGUCAGAGUAACUGUUGACAUCGUGACGGUAUCCAACCAGAAAGCCACGGCUAACUACGUGCCAGCAGCCGCCGGUAAUACGGUAGGUGGCAAGCGGUUGUCCGGGAUUUAUUGGGGCGUAAAGCGGAGCGCAGGCGAGUUUUUUAGGUCUGAUUGUGAAAGCCUUCGGGCUUAACCGGGAGAAGUGCAAUCGGAAACCCGGGAGACUUUGAGUGCAGGAAGAGGACAGUGGGAACUCCAUGUGUAGCCGGUGAAAUGCGUAAAUAUAUGGAAGAACACCAGUGGCGAAGGCGGCUGUCUGGUCUGCAACUGACGCUGAGGCUCGAAAGCAUGGGGUAGCGAACAGGAUUAGAUACCCCUGGUAGUCCAUGCCGUAAAACGAAGAUUUCUAGAAAGGUU